rnacentral:rRNA from 1 species
UCCUACGGGAGGCAGCAGUGGGGAAUAUUGCACAAUGGGCGAAAGCCUGAUGCAGCGACGCCGCGUGAGCGAGGAAGUGCUUAGGCAUGUAAAGCUCUAUCAGCAGGGAAGAAAAAUGACGGUACCUGACUAAGAAGCCCCGGCUAAAUACGUGCCAGCAGCCGCGGUAAUACGUAUGGGGCGAGCGUUAUCCGGAUUCACUGGGUGUAAAGGGGGCGCAGGCGGUUAUGCAAGUCCGGUGUGAAAACCCGCGGCUCAGCUGCGGGACUGCACUGGAAACUGUAAAACUAGAGUGUCGGAGGGGCUGGCGGAAUUCCUGGUGUAGCGGUGAAAUGCAUAGAUAUCAGGAGGAACACCGGUGGCGAAGGCGGCCAGCUGGACGAAUACUGACGCUGAGACCCGAAAGCGUGGGGAGCAAACAGGAUUAGAUACCCUGGUAGUCC